UGAGGAGAGAAGGCAGUCACCAGGUCCAGGAUCUCACUAUUUGGUCGCCUUUGGCCUAUCUGGAUUUCUGUCCGGUAUCUUUGAUUCUAGUUCUAAAAAUUUUACCUGAUCUCCCCCAAACCAUUGAAGACAGUUUAUAAUUGGCUAUGGGCACUUUCUGAACUCAAAUAUAUUUCCACCAUACUCUACAUGGAAGACCUUUGAUGUUUGAGAUUCAUUUAAUAGUACCACACAUCAAAUACGGUUAUCACUAAUAAUAAACUUUAUGGUUACACGGGACCCACCCGAAACAGUACCCAUACUACGAACUGUACCCCUGAUGAAGUCCUUAUAGGACGAAACGCGUUGGGUUUAUGAUAGUAUUUAUGAAGUGUUACAUUUGUACAAAUGAAUAAUGUGCUUAUGAACUAUUAUACUUCUGUAUGAUUUUAAUGUUUUUAAUGUUUGAUUAAAAAAUAUUGCUAUUCGGUUCAUGCUGGU